GAUGAAGAACGUAGCGAAAUGCGAUACGUAAUGUGAAUUGCAGAAUUCAGUGAAUCAUCGAAUCUUUGAACGCAUAUUGCGCUCUCUGGUAUUCCGGAGAGCAUGCUUGUUUGAGUAUCAGUAAACACCUCAACUCCCUUUUCUUUUUUGAAAUGGGAGCUGGACUUGAGUGAUCCCAACACUUUUCUCACUGGAAAGUGGCGGGUCACUUGCAAUGCAGGUGCAGCUGGACUUUUCUCUGAGCUAUAAGCAUAUCUAUUUAGUCUGCCUAAAAAACAGAUUAUUACCUUUGCUGCCGCUAACAUAAAGGAGAUGAGUUCUUGUGCUGACUGAUGCAGGAUUCACAGAGACAGCUUUGCGGCUGACUUUGUAAACUCGAUCUCAAAUCAAGUAAGCCUACCCGCUGAACUUAAGCAUAUCAAUAAGCGGAGGA
rnacentral:misc_RNA from 1 species